rnacentral:rRNA from 1 species
UGAGGAAUCUUGCGCAAUGGGGGAAACCCUGACGCAGCAACGCCGCGUGAGUGAGGAAGGCCUUCGGGUCGUAAAGCUCUGUCGGGUGGAAAGAAACGUAUGAAUGUUAAUAGCAUUUGUACUUGACGGUACUGCCAAAGGAAGCACCGGCUAACUCCGUGCCAGCAGCCGCGGUAAUACGGGGGGUGCAAGCGUUGUUCGGAAUCAUUGGGCGUAAAGAGCGUGUAGGCGGCUGAAUAAGUCAGAUGUGAAAUCCCUGGGCUCAACCCAGGAAGUGCAUUUGAAACUGUUCGGCUAGAGUAGGGGAGAGGGAAGUGGAAUUCCUGGUGUAGAGGCGAAAUUCGUAGAUAUCAGGAGGAACACCGGUGGCGAAGGCGACUUCCUGGCCCUAUACUGACGCGGAGACGCGAGAGCGUGGGGAGCAAACA